AUUGAACGCUGGCGGCAGGCCUAACACAUGCAAGUCGAGCGGAUGAAGGGAGCUUGCUCCUGGAUUCAGCGGCGGACGGGUGAGUAAUGCCUAGGAAUCUGCCUGGUAGUGGGGGAUAACGUCCGGAAACGGGCGCUAAUACCGCAUACGUCCUGAGGGAGAAAGUAGGGGAUCUUCGGACCUCACGCUAUCAGAUGAGCCUAGGUCGGAUUAGCUAGUUGGUGGGGUAAAGGCCUACCAAGGCGACGAUCCGUAACUGGUCUGAGAGGAUGAUCAGUCACACUGGAACUGAGACACGGUCCAGACUCCUACGGGAGGCAGCAGUGGGGAAUAUUGGACAAUGGGCGAAAGCCUGAUCCAGCCAUGCCGCGUGUGUGAAGAAGGUCUUCGGAUUGUAAAGCACUUUAAGUUGGGAGGAAGGGCAGUAAGUUAAUACCUUGCUGUUUUGACGGUACCAACAGAAUAAGCACCGGCUAACUUCGUG
rnacentral:rRNA from 1 species